UACGAAGGGGGCUAGCGUUGCUCGGAAUCACUGGGCGUAAAUGGGGCGUAGGCGGGUCUUUAAGUCAGGGGUGAAAUCCUGGAGCUCAACUCCAGAACUGCCUUUGAUACUGAAGAUCUUGAGUUCGGGAGAGGUGAGUGGAACUGCGAGUGUAGAGGUGAAAUUCGUAGAUAUUCGCAAGAACACCAGUGGCGAAGGCGGCUCACUGGCCCGAUACUGACGCUGAGGCACGAAAGCGUGGGGAGCAAACAGG
rnacentral:rRNA from 1 species